GCGGGGGUGUCUGAGCCUGGUCAAAGGAGCAGGGCUUAGGACCCUGUGCGCUUAGGCGCUUCGUGGGUUCAAAUCCCAUCCCCCGCA
rnacentral:tRNA from 1 species